UACGUAGGCAGCAAGCGUUGUUCGGAGUUACUGGGCGUAAAGGGUGCGUAGGCGGUUGUUUAAGUUUGGGGUGAAAUCUCCCGGCUCAACCGGGAGGGUGCGCCGAAUACUGAACGGCUAGAGUGCGGGAGAGGAGAGUGGAAUUCCUGGUGUAGCGGUGAAAUGCGUAGAUAUCAGGAGGAACACCGGUGGUGUAGACGGCUCUCUGGACCGUAACUGACGCUGAGGCACGAAAGCGUGGGUAGCAAACAGG
rnacentral:rRNA from 1 species